UACGGGGGGAGCAAGCGUUGUUCGGAUUCAUUGGGCGUAAAGGGCGCGUAGGCGGCUCGGUAAGUCUGACGUGAAAUGCACCGGUUCAACCGGGGCGCUGUGUCAGAAACUGCCAGGCUUGAGGUCGAGGGAGGAAGGUGGAAUUCCUGGUGUAGCGGUGAAAUGCGUAGAUAUCAGGAGGAACACCCGUGGCGAAGGCGACCUUCUAUCUCGAUUCUGACGCUGAGGCGCGAAAGCUAGGGGAGCAAACGGGAUUAGAUACCCCGGUAGUCCUAGCCGUAAACGAUGGGCACUAGGUGUGGGAGGUAUCGACCCCUUCCGUGCCGCAGCUAACGCAUUAAGUGCCCCGCCUGGGGAGUACGGCCGCAAGGUUGAA
rnacentral:rRNA from 1 species